rnacentral:rRNA from 1 species
GUGACGAGUGGCGGACGGGUGAGUAUUUCGAGAAUGCCCGAUGGAGGGGGAUACUACUGAAACGGUAGCUAAUACCGCAUAACGUCGCAAGACCAAAGAGGGGGACCUUCGGGCCUCUUGCCAUCGGAUGUGCCCAGAUGGGAUUAGCUAGUAGUGGGGUAACGGCUCACCUAGCGACGAUCCCUAGCUGGUCUGAGAGGAUGACCAGCCACACUGGAACUGAGACACGGUCCAGACUCCUACGGGAGGCAGCAGUGGGGAAUAUUGCACAAUGGGCGCAAGCCUGAUGCAGCCAUGCCGCGUGUAUGAAGAAGGCCUUCGGGUUGUAAAGUACUUUCAGCGAGGAGGAAGGCGUUGUGGUUAAUAACCGCAGCGAUUGACGUUACUCGCAAGGAAGCACCGGCUAACUCCGUGCCACAGCCGCGGUAAUACGGAGGGUGCAAGCGUUAAUCGGAAUUACUGGGCGUAAAGCGCACGCAGGGCGGUCUGUCAAGUCGGAUGUGAAAUCCCCGGGGCUCAACCUGGGAACUGAUCCGAAACUGGCAGGGCUAAAAGUCCUUGGUAAGAAGGGGGGGUUAAAAAUUCCCAGGUGUACCGGGA